AGACGAGGAGAUGGCGCACGAGGACAUGGAAGAGACGCCACAAGCUUCUGCGGAGGAGAACCACCAGAAGAAGGGUGAAGCGGAGGAGUUGCCACAGCCUUCUGUCGAGGAGAACGAUGAUCAGAGAGUCAAGGACGAGAUACUGGACGCGUCUACAGAUGAGAACAAUGUGGAAAAGGGAAAGGAAGAGAUGCCAC